UUUUUUCUCUAAUUACUAAACCUCUCUUUGUGGAAGUGUAGUUGGUUACAAGCUCUAACUUAGUGUUUUAGGGAACUAAGAUGUGAUAUUUAAGUCUCGUCUUGCUCAUUUGUGUUUGCGUCAGAGUUUGAGAACCUCAGCUUUAGCCUGACGCUUCAUGAGGUUUGACUUCCUGUAUUUUUGCAGCAAGUAGGAUUUGAGACAUAGCAUUGUGAGCGUGUGAGGGGGCCUAACGUUCCAUUGAACUCCAGAUCAACACCUGUUCAACAGUAGAAACGGAUGAUGGCAAUGGUGACUAACGGAUUUGGGUGUUUACCAGUUCUUGUUUUCCUGCUGACUUUGAGCAGUUCAGUCACGUCAAGACCUCUUAGGAUGAAAAGGGAAAUUAGUCACAAUGUGACAUCGAUAAACACCAACGACACACGGAGUACAGCAACCGUAGCUGAAGUUGAGAAUGCAAGAAGCACCACUGUGGAAACUUUGAAGGCUUCGAGUACGUUACAGACAGUUGAGGUGAAAACUUUAAAACCUGAUUUAAAGGUCUCAGCAUCUACAGAUUACCUUCAUACCCCAGAUUUGAACCACACCCAACAAAACUACUCUGCAGGAACCGAGAACCUGACAGUUCACCGGCCAACAGAUAAUGAGAGUACUUUUCACACCCAACUUCCCAAAAUAAAUAUUAGUACUGGACACAUUUCACAUGCAGGAAGUUCUGCCCCCACAUUUCCUGCAUCGUUGAAGCCCAGUAAGGUAACGGAGAAGCACAUGACAGCAGCGACAAGAAGAAUGUCCACAGAUGCAAAAGGACAUACUACUGAAGUUACCUCAACAGCCACCAAAAAAUCAACCACAGCAAUGCCCCACUCAUGUUCCACUGCCUCUUCUCAAGGGGACGGACUUGUGAGCCGUUGCCUCAUCGCAAUCGCCUCGAUGGCAGCGUUGACAACCAUCUUUAUCAUUAGCACCAUCUGCUUGGCUACGAAACUCUCGGGAUACAGAUACAGGCACAAGGCGCAGCUUCUCCAGGAGACUGAGAUGGUCUGCAUAUCUGCCCUGAUGAAUGAUACCGAUCACCCUGUUCCAAAGCCAAGACGACAUCCCAAAGGUAAUGGAGCAUUGAUCCCGAAUACUGAGGAUGGAGAUCCUGAUGGAGAUAAUCUCACUCUAAACAGUUUUCUACCUGAUACCGAAGGCCCUCUUUAGAAGUUGAAAUCUUUCUGUAUGCACUGGGAACCAGCGCUUUAUUGAUGGAUCACAGAGUUUUUUACUCUCAAACAUGAAGUCAGUGCUCAGGUUUGACACAAACCCAGCUCUUGAAUGGUUUGCACUGUCAAAAAAAAUCCACAGUAUAUCUGUGGUGCAGGUUUAUCAGUUUUCUAGGGAGUUUCAGUAAUCUGAAAUAAAUUCAGUAAUCUGAUGCCUGGCUUUGAAGUGCCAUUUUAUGCUUUGUUGUACAAUAAUGAACAUUCCAUGUCUUUUAUUUAAUCAGUGGAACAUUUAUAUUGUAAUUUUUUUUUUUUUUGCAUGUGUGAAGAUGUUGUAAUGUUAUAUUUAAUCAGUGUUGAAAUGUACUACUAUGUUCUCUAAGGAGCA